rnacentral:rRNA from 1 species
GGAAUCUUGGACAAUGGGGGCAACCCUGAUCCAGCCAUGCCGCGUGGGUGAAGAAGGCCCUAGGGUUGUAAAGCCCUUUCGCCGGUGAAGAUAAUGACGGUAACCGGUAAAGAAGCCCCGGCUAACUUCGUGCCAGCAGCCGCGGUAAUACGAAGGGGGCUAGCGUUGUUCGGAAUCACUGGGCGUAAAGCGCACGUAGGCGGAUUGGCCAGUCAGGGGUGAAAGCCCGGAGCUCAACUCCGGAAUAGCCCUUGAUACUGCUUGUCUUGAGACCGGGAGAGGAGAGUGGAAUUCCCAGUGUAGAGGUGAAAUUCGUAGAUAUUGGGAAGAACACCAGUGGCGAAGGCGGCUCUCUGGCCCGGUUCUGACGCUGAGGUGCGAAAGCGUGGGGAGCAAA